UACGUAGGGGGCGAGCGUUGUCCGGAAUUAUUGGGCGUAAAGAGCUCGUAGGCGGCUUGGCAAGUCGGAUGUGAAAACUCCAGGCUCAACCUGGAGCCGCCAUUCGAUACUGCUAUGGCUAGAGUCCGGUAGGGGAGUGUGGAAUUCCUGGUGUAGCGGUGAAAUGCGCAGAUAUCAGGAAGAACACCCGUGGCGAAGGCGGCUCUCUGGGACGGUACUGACGCUGAGACGCGAAAGCGUGGGGAGCGAACAGG
rnacentral:rRNA from 1 species